rnacentral:rRNA from 1 species
AUUGAACGCUGGCGGCAGGCCUAACACAUGCAAGUCGAACGGUAACAGAACUAGCUUGCUAGUUGCUGACGAGUGGCGGACGGGUGAGUAAUACUUAGGGAUCUGCCUUUGGGAGGGGGAUAACCAUUGGAAACGAUGGCUAAUACCGCAUAACGUCUACGGACCAAAGGGGGCUUCGGCUCUCACCUGAAGAGGAACCUAAGCGAGAUUAGCUAGUUGGUGGGGUAAAGGCUCACCAAGGCGACGAUCUCUAGCUGUUCUGAGAGGAAGAUCAGCCACACUGGGACUGAGACACGGCCCAGACUCCUACGGGAGGCAGCAGUGGGAAUAUUGCACAAUGGGGAAAACCCGGAUGCAGCCAUGCCGCGUGUGUGAAGAAGGCCUUCGGGUUGUAAAGCAC